AUUGAACGCCGGCGGCAUGCCUUACACAUGCAAGUCGAACGGCAGCACGGGGCAACCUGGUGGCGAGUGGCGAACGGGUGAGUAAUGCAUCGGAACGUACCUUUCAGUGGGGGAUAACGUAGCGAAAGUUACGCUAAUACCGCAUAUUCUGUGAGCAGGAAAGCAGGGGAUCGGAAGACCUUGCGCUGAUUGAGCGGCCGAUGUCAGAUUAGCUAGGUGGUGAGGUAAAGGCUCACCAAGGCGACGAUCUGUAGCGGGUCUGAGAGGAUGAUCCGCCACACUGGAACUGAGACACGGUCCAGACUCCUACGGGAGGCAGCAGUGGGGAAUUUUGGACAAUGGGGGCAACCCUGAUCCAGCCAUGCCGCGUGAGUGAAGAAGGCCUUCGGGUUGUAAAGCUCUUUCGGCCGGGAAGAAAUCGCACGGGCUAAUACCCUGUGUGGAUGACGGUACCGGAAUAAGAAGCACCGGCUAACUACGUGCCAGCCGCCGCCGUAACAC
rnacentral:rRNA from 1 species